rnacentral:tRNA from 1 species
GCAAUAUAGUUCAAUCGGUAGAACAAUAGAAUCAUAAUCUAUAAGUUGUAAGUUCAAUUCUUACUGUUGCC